AUGAACGCUGGCGGCGUGCCUAAUACAUGCAAGUCGAGCGAACAGACGAGGAGCUUGCUCCUCUGACGUUAGCGGCGGACGGGUGAGUAACACGUGGAUAACCUACCUAUAAGACUGGGAUAACUUCGGGAAACCGGGGCUAAUACCGGAUAACAUGUUGAACCGCAUGGUUCAACAGUGAAAGACGGUCUUGCUGUCACUUAUAGAUGGAUCCGCGCCGCAUUAGCUAGUUGGUAAGGUAACGGCUUACCAAGGCAACGAUGCGUAGCCGACCUGAGAGGGUGAUCGGCCACACUGGAACUGAGACACGGUCCAGACUCCUACGGGAGGCAGCAGUAGGGAAUCUUCCGCAAUGGGCGAAAGCCUGACGGAGCAACGCCGCGUGAGUGAAGAAGGUCUUCGGAUCGUAAAACUCUGUUAUUAGGGAAGAACAAAUGUGUAAGUAACUAUGCACGUCUUGACGGUACCUAAUCAGAAAGCCACGGCUAACUACGUG
rnacentral:rRNA from 1 species